GUCUGUGUGUCUGUCUAUAUUCUGUCUUUGCCAGGGAUAGACCAGGAAUGGAGUCUUAGAACUUUUAGUACAGGGGACAGGAAGAAAGGGAGAAACAGCUCUUCACUGCUGCUCCAGGGCUGCUGCAAAGAUCCUUGCUACAUUCUGCUGUCACAGAGUCCUUCAAAGAAAACGUAAUUGCCCCAGGUGACUGUGGGAUUCAAGUGCUGCUGAGUCCAGUGCCUCAUCGGGGUGUCAGGGAAAGUUGUGCUGAAGGAAGCGUGGUCUUUUUUGCUGGGGCUGAAGCCAGCUUGACUGUGAUGUGGGAAGCUCCAUCCCUCUCAGGAAUUUCUGUGCUGUCCAGAAGAAUGCCUCCUUCGAUUGGCUGCCUGCCCCACUUGCCUGCCUCCUGGGGAAGAGACACCAAUUAAAGCUGCUGCAGGAAUUAAGCCAAGGUCUCUCCACCCUCUCUCCCCCCCCCUCCACCCUCAGGACCCGACACUGUUCUCAUAGCAGGAAGGAGGGAGCAGAAAGAGCCCCCCCACCCCCCAAGCAGCUCAGAGCAACUCCACUCCCUCCUCCCUUCCCGUGAGCAACAGGAUGGUUCCUCUGCUACUUCCUUCCCCCCUACAGUACCUGGCCUGGAAAGGGGAGGAGAGGAGGGUGAAGAGCCACAGGAUCUCCCCCCUCCCCCAGCCUGGAAGAGGCAGAGGGGACCCUACAGCAGCCCUCUAGGCUUGGGAGAGGGAGGUGAACAACUGGAGGUGAGGCUAGGUGUGGGAAGGGGGCCUGAACUGAUGUGUGGGCAGAAUUGCCAUGGAGGCUGGAUGGGCCCCGGGGGCAGAACUGGUGCAAGCACCAGGAGCAGAGGAUUAAUUUAGAGAUUAAUGGGGUAGCAUUAGUUGCUGGGCAGAUGUGGCAGGGUGAGAACAUCUGUAAGGGGAUCCAAACUGACCUUACCCACUAAAGCCGGGAGAAUUGGCAACACUAAUUGUCUCACGUGCCCUAGGGACGGGGGAGGGGUGUUCAGCAAUCACAAGACCAAAGAAACACAAUAUAAGCUUCAUUAAAAAGAUCUUAUGAUUUUUGGAGGUCCUGACUCAUGGUUUCUGAACCUUUGAGGUUGCCAGUACUAUAUCUGGGGACUGAUAGGAGGUUUAAUUUUACUAUCAUGUGGAAGUGUGAUGUUAAUCUACGUGCUCUGUUUAUACUGACUGGAUCUUUUGGGUAUGUAACAAACAGGCCUGGAAACGGCAAGCUCAGGACAAAAUGCACUUGGCUCAUUGUACGUAAGAAACAUUCUGCUGCAGUUUCUACAAGUCUGUAACAGGGGGCAGCUGCCUCCCAUGUGUCCCCUCAUGGCCAGGGAUGGCUCUGUUUUGAAACCAAUCCUCAGGGUCCCAAAAUAAAGUCCAUCACAGCAACAUGCUCAACAGUGAUGUCUUCUAUCACACCUGG